UACAGAGGGGGCCAGCGUUAUUCGGAAUUAUUGGGCGUAAAGGGCGCGUAGGCGGCCCGGUAAGUCAAAGGUGAAAUCCCUCGGCUCAACUGAGGAACUGCCUUUGAAACUGUCGGGCUUGAGGCCGGGAGGGGGUAGCGGAAUUCCCAGUGUAGCGGUGAAAUGCGUAGAUAUUGGGAGGAACACCGGUGGCGAAGGCGGCUACCUGGACCGGUUCUGACGCUGAUGCGCGAAAGCGUGGGUAGCAAACAGG
rnacentral:rRNA from 1 species